rnacentral:tRNA from 1 species
GCCGGGGUGGUGGAACUGGUAGACACGCUGGAUUCAAAAUCCAGUGCCUUUACAGGCGUGCCGGUUCGACUCCGGCCCUCGGUACCA